CAGCCGCCGCGGGAAUACGUAGGUGGCAAGCGUUGUCCGGAAUUAUUGGGCGUAAAGGGCUCGCAGGCGGUUUCUUAAGUCUGAUGUGAAAGCCCCCGGCUCAACCGGGGAGGGUCAUUGGAAACUGGGAAACUUGAGUGCAGAAGAGGAGAGUGGAAUUCCACGUGUAGCGGUGAAAUGCGUAGAGAUGUGGAGGAACACCAGUGGCGAAGGCGACUCUCUGGUCUGUAACUGACGCUGAGGAGCGAAAGCGUGGGGAGCGAACAGGAUUAGAUACCCCCGUAGUCCCUGUCUCUUAUAA
rnacentral:rRNA from 1 species